rnacentral:tRNA from 1 species
GAUGAGGUAUGUAGCUCUCUGGUACUACGGUUGAAUAUGUAUAUAUAUAUGAUCUUAAACUGGAAAGACCAGUAUAUAGAGAGAAAGAUGAUGCUGAGAUGAAAAUUUCAGGCACAUAACGGUUGACAGUCCUAUAGCUCAGUUGGUUAGAGCGCUACACUGAUAAUGUAGAGGUCGGCAGUUCAACUCUGCCUGGGACUACCAGUUGAAAAACGGGGGAUUAGCUCAGCUGGCUAGAGCAUCUGCUUUGCACGCAGAGGGUCAACGGUUCGAAUCCGUUAUUCUCCACGAUAAACUCCGUAAGGGGUAAAAAAAGAUCUUUGACGUAUUGGACAACUUCAAAAAAGUAAAGUAACAAAAAAAUAGAGCAAGCUGAAGAUAUAUCAAUCCGACACGGGCUUCAAUUUUAGCAAUAAAAGGAAGCAGUGUCA